rnacentral:SRP_RNA from 1 species
GCCGGGCGCGGUGGCGCGUGCCUGUAGUACCAGCUACUCAGGAGGCUGAGGUGGAAGAAUCGCUUGAGCCCAGGAGUUCUCCUGAUCAGGUGUCCGCACUAAGUUCGGCAUCAAUACGGUGACUUCCCAGGAGUGGGGGACCACCAGGUUGCCUAAGGAGGGGUGAACUGGCCCAGGUUGUUAACAGAGCAGGUCAGAACUCCCAUGCUGAUCAGUAGUGGGAUCGCGCCUGUGAAGAGUCACUGCACUCCAGCCUGGGCAACAUAGCGAGACCCUGUCUCU